rnacentral:rRNA from 1 species
UACGUAGGGUGCAAGCGUUAAUCGGAAUUACUGGGCGUAAAGCGUGCGCAGGCGGUUCGUUGUGUCGGCGGUGAAAUCCCCGGGCUCAACCUGGGAAUGGCCGUUGAAACUGGCGAACUGGAGUGUGGCAGAGGGGGGUGGAAUUCCGCGUGUAGCAGUGAAAUGCGUAGAGAUGCGGAGGAACACCGAUGGCGAAGGCAGCCCCCUGGGCUAGCACUGACGCUCAGGCACGAAAGCGUGGGGAGCAAACAGG